UCAUAGGACUGUCUUAGAAUGGUGUACAUUCUAAAACAGUCUCCAACACAAACUCGUCUUAGAAUGUCAUACAUUUUAAGACGGGCUUAUGUCAUACACUCUAAGAUGGAUUUAUCCUGGGGAUUGUCUUAGAAUGUACAACAUUAUAAGACGGUCUGCGUGA
rnacentral:pre_miRNA from 1 species